rnacentral:rRNA from 1 species
GACAAACAGGCCAAGUUAAGUUUAUUUGGUAUAAAGGAAGUAAAAUAAUACUAUUUAAAAGGUUUAAUUUAUCGUAAUGAGGUGGAAUUCAUGUACGGGAAAUUAUAUUAAGUACUUUUUAUAUUUUUGAUGCUUCGAUAGUUAGAUGAGAGACCGGGAUUAGAUACCCCGUUAUUUUUCCUGUAAAUUUUGAUUAUUGGAUUAAUUUACCUGAGUAUUACGGGCUGGAUAUAAUUUUAUAGACUAGAACUAUACUAGUUAUAUGUUUAUUUAGAUGCUUAAAACUCAAAGAACUUGGCGGUGCCUUAUUUCCUCCCAGGGGAACCUGUCCUGUAAUCGAUAAUCCACGAUUUAUCUUACUUUUUCUUGAAUUUUGAAUUAUCAGUUUGUAUACCGUCGUCGUCAGAUUACCUUUGAGAGUUAAGAAGUUGUCAGAUGAAUCGGGAAAUUAGUUUGUUUUACUUGUUUUUAGUAAAUGAGGCUGUUUUAGAUUUUGACGUCAGAUCAAGGUGCAGCUUAUGGGAAAGUAGAGAUGGGUUACAGUACAGAUUUUGUAUUAUGAAUACUAACUUGUAAUAGUUAGGUGAAAGUGGACUUGGAAGUAAUGUUAUUUUAAUGAGAUUUAAAUUAGUAAGUUUAUGUGAAUAAAGGUACUAAGGCGCGC